rnacentral:rRNA from 1 species
UACCAGCUCUCCGAGUGGUGUGGAUGUUUAUUGGGCCUAAAGCAUCCGUAGCUGGCUGGACAAGUCCCCUGUUAAAUCCACCGAUUUAAUCGUUGGAGUGCGGGGGAUACUGUUCGGCUAGGGGACGGGAGAGGCAGACGGUAUUUUCGGGGUAGGGGUGAGAUCCUAUAAUCCCGGGAAGACCACCAGUGGCGAAGGCUGUCUGCUAGAACGCGCCCGACGGUGAGGGAUGAAAGCUGGGGGAGCGAACCGGAUUAGAUACCCGGGUAGUCCCAGCUGUAAACGAUGCAGGCUAGGUGUUUGGGUGGCUACGUGCCACUUCAGUGCCGCAGGGAAGCCAUUAAGCUCGCCGCCUGGGGAGUACGGCCGCAAGGCUGAAACUUAAAGGAAUUGGCGGGGAGCACCACAAGGCGUGAAGCUUGCGGUUC